rnacentral:rRNA from 1 species
GACGAACGCUGGCGGCGUGCCUAAUACAUGCAAGUUGAGCGAUGAAGAUUGGUGCUUGCACCAAUUUGAAGAGCAGCGAACGGGUGAGUAACGCGUGGGGAAUCUGCCUUUGAGCGGGGGACGACAUUUGGAAACGAAUGCUAAUACCGCAUAACAACUUUAAACAUAAGUUUUAAGUUUGAAAGAUGCAAUUGCAUCACUCAAAGAUGAUCCCGCGUUGUAUUAGCUAGUUGGUGAGGUAAAGGCUCACCAAGGCGAUGAUACAUAGCCGACCUGAGAGGGUGAUCGGCCACAUUGGGACUGAGACACGGCCCAAACUCCUACGGGAGGCAGCAGUAGGGAAUCUUCGGCAAUGGACGAAAGUCUGACCGAGCAACGCCGCGUGAGUGAAGAAGGUUUUCGGAUCGUAAAACUCUGUUGGUAGAGAAGAACGUUGGUGAGAGUGGAGAGCUCAUCAAGUGACGGUAACUACCCAGAAAGGGACGGCUAACUACGUG